GAUGAACGCUGGCGGCGUGCCUAAUACAUGCAAGUCGAGCGAACAGACGAGGAGCUUGCUCCUCUGAUGUUAGCGGCGGACGGGUGAGUAACACGUGGAUAACCUACCUAUAAGACUGGGAUAACUUCGGGAAACCGGAGCUAAUACCGGAUAAUAUAUUGAACCGCAUGGUUCAACAGUGAAAGACGGUUUUGCUGUCACUUAUAGAUGGAUCCGCGCCGCAUUAGCUAGUUGGUAAGGUAACGGCUUACCAAGGCAACGAUGCGUAGCCGACCUGAGAGGGUGAUCGGCCACACUGGAACGGAGACACGGUCCAGACUCCUACGGGAGGCAGCAGUAGGGAAUCGUCCGCAAUGGGCGAAAGCGUGACGGAGCAACGCCGCGUGAGUGAUGAAGGUCUUCGGAUCGUAAAACUCUGUUAUUAGGGAAGAACAUAUGUGUAAGUAACUGUGCACAUCUUGACGGUACCUAAUCAGAAAGCCACGGCUAACUACGUG
rnacentral:rRNA from 1 species